rnacentral:rRNA from 1 species
UACGUAGGGUGCGAGCGUUUGUCCGGAAUUACUGGGCGUAAAGAGCUCGUAGGUGGUUUGUCGCGUUGUUCGUGAAAAACUCACAGCUUAACUGUGGGCGUGCGGGCGAUACGGGCAGACUGGAGUACUGCAGGGGAGACUGGAAUUCCUGGUGUAGCGGUGGAAUGCGCAGAUAUCAGGAGGAACACCGGUGGCGAAGGCAGCUCGCUGGGACGGUACUGACGCUGAGGCGCGAAAGCGUGGGGAGCAAACAGGAUUAGA